GUUGCUAUAAUUUAAAAAAAAUACAGGUUUGUGGUACCUGAAAUGUAAAUUUUACUAGCAACC
rnacentral:tRNA from 1 species